rnacentral:rRNA from 1 species
GACGAACGCUGGCGGCGUGCUUAACACAUGCAAGUCGAACGAAGUGGCGAACGGGUGAGUAAUACGUGGGUAACCUGCCCUCCUUUUUGGGAUAAGCCUUGGAAACGGGGUCUAAUACCGAAUAAAGGGGGAUGGGCUCGCGGCCUAUCAGCUUGUUGGUGGGGUGAUUGCCUACCAAGGCGGUGACGGGUAGCCGGCCUGUGAGGGUGACCGGCCACAUUGGGACGGAGCUACGUCCCAGACUAGGACGCGGGGCGGAAGUGGGGGAUAUUGCCGAAUGGGCGAAGGACUGAUGCAGCGACGCCGCAUAGGGGAUGAAGGUUUUCGGGUUGUAAAACUCUGUCGCUAUCGAGCGGGUAGGUGGAGAAGAAGCGCCGGCUAACUACGUGCCAGCAGCCGCGGUAAUUC